AUUGAACGCUGGCGGCAGGCCUAACACAUGCAAGUCGAGCGGUAGAGAGGUGCUUGCAUCUCUUGAGAGCGGCGGACGGGUGAGUAAUGCCUAGGAAUCUGCCUAGUGGUGGGGGAUAACGUUCGGAAACGGACGCUAAUACCGCAUACGUCCUACGGGAGAAAGCGGGGGAUCUUCGGACCUCGCGCCAUUAGAUGAGCCUAGGUCGGAUUAGCUAGUUGGUGAGGUAAUGGCUCACCAAGGCGACGAUCCGUAACUGGUCUGAGAGGAUGAUCAGUCACACUGGAACUGAGACACGGUCCAGACUCCUACGGGAGGCAGCAGUGGGGAAUAUUGGACAAUGGGCGAAAGCCUGAUCCAGCCAUGCCGCGUGUGUGAAGAAGGUCUUCGGAUUGUAAAGCACUUUAAGUUGGGAGGAAGGGUAGGUAACCUAAUACGUUGCUACUUUGACGUUACCGACAGAAUAAGCACCGGCUAACUUCGUGCCAGCA
rnacentral:rRNA from 1 species